rnacentral:rRNA from 1 species
CCCUUAGAUGUUCUGGGCCGCACACGCGCUACACUGAAGGAGGCAGCGUGUACUCCUGGAUCGAAAGAUUUGGGUAACCCGCGAAUCUCCUUCGUGCUAGGGAUUGAGGUUUGCAAUUAUCCUUCAUGAACGAGGAAUUCCCAGUAAGUGCAAGUCAUAAGCUUGCGCUGACUACGUCCCUGCCCUUUGUACACACCGCCCGUCGCUACUACCGAUUGAAUGAUUUAGUGAGGACUUCGGACUGGGACCGAUGCGGCUUUCGGGCUGCGUCGGUAUUCUGGAAAGAUGUCCAAACUGUAUCAUUUAGAGGAAGUAAAANUCGUAGCA